rnacentral:tRNA from 1 species
GGAAGGAUGGCUCAGGGGCUAGGGCACUAGCAUAGAUCUUGGAGACCAGGGUUCAACUCCCUGCUCUGCCA